AGAGUUUGAUCAUGGCUCAGGAUGAACGCCGGCGGCGUGCUUAACACAUGCAAGUCGAGGGGAAACGACAUCGAAAGCUUGCUUUUGAUGGGCGUCGACCGGCGCACGGGUGAGUAACGCGUAUCCAACCUGCCCACCACUUGGGGAUAACCUUGCGAAAGUAAGACUAAUACCCAAUGAUAUCUCUAGAAGACAUCUGAAAGAGAUUAAAGAUUUAUCGGUGAUGGAUGGGGAUGCGUCUGAUUAGCUUGUUGGCGGGGUAACGGCCCACCAAGGCAACGAUCAGGUAGGGGUUCUGAGAGGAAGGUCCCCCACAUUGGAACUGAGACACGGUCCAAACUCCUACGGGAGGCAGCA
rnacentral:rRNA from 1 species